CAAGCUAAUAACUGUGGGAGGAAACAAGGAGCCAGAAGUGAAAUAGUGCUUGAACAGGCAAACCCUGAGCUCAUAGCUUGUGUAUCUUUGCAAGAAUAUCUUUCAUGCUUUGCAUAGCUUAUUUUGUAUUUAAUUUUAAAGUAUAAAUAAAGUCUCAUAUGCGGACAGUAUAAAAGCUUUGUGACCUUUGUUUUUCUUCUCUCUUUUAAAUGCUGGGGUGCUUGUCUGCAAAGGCUCUGUGCGCAACUGCAUGUGGCACCACAGGCAGCCAGUCUCCCCUGGAGCAUAGGGAGAGCAAGCCCUGGAGGGCUGAUCUUCUGGCACUGCAGAUACCCACAAGGUUGCUGGCUUUGGUUUGGAAGGGGUGCAGCAGCCCAGGCUUUGACAGCAAGCACAAGAGUCAGGCUGGCAAACCACCUAGUGUUACCUCCUGUGGAAGAAAGCUUUUUUACAGUGAGAAUUUGCGUAACCAUGGGUUAAAGACGGAGUCCUUCUACCAGUCUUGAGCAUGGCAGUCCCCAGGACAGAGAUGCACACAUCUAACUGCAUAAGCGCUAAAGGCAGAGAUGACAGUGCUCCUUCUUCCCCUCAGCACUACAGCAGUGCCCAUGAGUCCAUGUGGAUGGAUUGGGACCUUCUGUACUCUGCAGAGUCCUUCAGAAGAUGGAAACUUGGUGUUACUACAGAGGGGAAAUAGUGUCAUCUGCAGAGUCAGGUAAAUACUACUUCAUUGCUUACACUUAAGCUGUACUGUCAAGGAAUUAAAAGGGAAGAGUGUUUUACUUUUUUUAUUAUUCAUUUUUCUGAAAAGUUAAAAUUUCUCUUGUACUCCAUGACUCCAAAGCAUGAGUAAGAGCUAGUAAAUAACAGGGGAAUUAGCUAGAGGUGCUGUGGUAUUAUGACAYGCCUGCUUGUGAUGGGGUAGUUUGAGCAAUUAAUGUCAGAAGCCAGGAAGAAAAAUAGAUUUCAAGGUGUUCUUGAUGGAUGUUUCUAUUGCCUCCACAUGUAUUCAGCAAUGGGACUUUUCCAAGCUGUACCCUUCUUACAAGCACGUGUUAGUAACAGAAUACCAGACUGUAGACUCUGCUCCUUCAUACUGAAGGCACAGUCGCAGCUGCUAGCAAUUGUAGAGCUGUGUUUCAAACGAGCUCAUCCCUAGAGAAACGUUAAUACUAGCUGAUCUUAUCUAAGAUUGCAUUUCCAUCUUACUAGCUUUGAAUGGGCAGUCUAUUUUGUUGGCUCUGCUUUUUCUGAAUGAUCCUGGCAACAGGGUAUAACGCAUAAUGGGGAGGGGAAGAUGUGUGCAAGUACCUGGAUGCUUCUGUUUUACAACAGUGCUAAUGUUUGUAUUUGAAGAAAAGUGUGAGGUGAGUUUGCAAAUCAGAUUUCAGUUACAACCCCAUUCAUCCCUGCUGAGCUCAUGUGCAGCUCUACCAGUCAGCUGCCCUAGGGUUCUCAUCUGGCACCCCCAGUCAGCGUAGUACAGGCACCACCACCUUUCCUGGAGU
rnacentral:lncRNA from 1 species